UACGGGGGGAGCAAGCGUUGUUCGGAUUUACUGGGCGUAAAGGGCGCGUAGGCGGCCACCGCAAGUCGACUGUGAAAUCUCCGGGCUUAACUCGGAAAGGUCAGCCGAUACUGCGGGGCUAGAGUGCAGAAGGGGCAACUGGAAUUCUCGGUGUAGCGGUGAAACGCGUAGAUAUCGAGAGGAACACCUGCGGCGAAGGCGGGUUGCUGGGCUGACACUGACGCUGAAGCGCGAAAGCUAGGGGAGCGAACGGG
rnacentral:rRNA from 1 species